rnacentral:rRNA from 1 species
GACGAACGCUGGCGGCGUGCUUAACACAUGCAAGUCGAACGGAAAGGCCCUGCUUGCAGGGUACUCGAGUGGCGAACGGGUGAGUAACACGUGGGGGAUCUGCCCUGCACUUCGGGAUAAGCCUGGGAAACUGGGUCUAAUACCGGAUAGGAGCCAUCUUUAGUGUGAUGGUUGGAAAGUUUUUUCGGUGUAGGAUGAGCUCGCGGCCUAUCAGCUUGUUGGUGGGGUAAUGGCCUACCAAGGCGGCGACGGGUAGCCGGCCUGAGAGGGUGGACGGCCACAUUAGGACUGGGAUACGGCCCAGACUCCUACGGGAGGCAGCAGGGGGGAAUAUUGCACAAGGGACGCAAGCCUGAUGCAGCGACGCCGCGUGGGGGAUGACGGCCUUCGGGUUGUAAACUCCUUUCGCUAGGGACGAAGCUUUUUGUGACGGUACCUAGAUAAGAAGCACCGGCUAACUACGUG